AUUGAACGCUGGCGGCAUGCCUUACACAUGCAAGUCGAACGGCAGCACGGGGCAACCUGGUGGCGAGUGGCGAACGGGUGAGUAAUGCAUCGGAACGCACCUUUCAGUGGGGGAUAACGUAGCGAAAGUUACGCUAAUACCGCAUAUUCUGUGAGCAGGAAAGCAGGGGAUCGCAAGACCUUGCGCUGAUUGAGCGGCCGAUGUCAGAUUAGCUAGUUGGUGAGGUAAAGGCUCACCAAGGCGACGAUCUGUAGCGGGUCUGAGAGGAUGAUCCGCCACACUGGAACUGUGACACGGUCCAGACUCCUACGGGAGGCAGCAGUGGGGAAUUUUGGACAAUGGGGGCAACCCUGAUCCAGCCAUGCCGCGUGAGUGAAGAAGGCCUUCGGGUUGUAAAGCCCUUUCGGCCGGGAAGAAAUCGCACGGGCUAAUACCCUGUGUGGAUGACGGUACCGGAAUAAGAAGCACCGGCUAACUACGUGCCAGCCGCCGCGGUAAGAC
rnacentral:rRNA from 1 species